rnacentral:rRNA from 1 species
AUUGAACGCUGGCGGCAGGCCUAACACAUGCAAGUCGAGCGAGCGGCGGGCGGGUGAGUAAUGAAUGUGGAUCUGCCCGAUAGAGGGGGAUAACUACUGGAAACGGUGGCUGCUAACGCCUACUAUCGCAUGAACCCGGAUGGGAUUAGCUAGUAGGUGGGGUAAAGGCUCACCUAGGCGACGAUCUCUAGCUGGUCUGAGAGGAUGAUCAGCCACACUGGGACUGAGACACGGCCCAGACUCCUACGGUAGGCAGCAGGGGGGAAUAUUGCACAAUGGGCGCAAGCCUGAUGCAGCCAUGCCGCGUGUAUGAAGAAGGCCUUAGGGUUGUAAAGUACUUUCAGCAGGGAGGCGUUACCCGCAGAAGAAGCACCGGCUAACUCCGUGCCAGCAGCCGCGGUAAUAC